CUUGCCUUUUAUGUAUUCGAUAUCGAAGUAAAACCCGUCUAGUAAAAUUUUCCACCUGAUGAUUCGCGAAUUUGGGUCCUUAAGCGAAUAAAGCCAUUUCAGGGGCUGGUGAUCAGUUUGGACUAGGAACUUUCGACCGUAAAGUUACGGGGCGGCAUUUUUUCCAGUGCCCAAGGGCGGCAGAAAUGUAAAUCCGGCCCUGUAUUUUUUCGCAAUGCCGAAGAAAGGGGAAAUUCGUAAGUGGAAUGCAGAAAACAUGAAAAAAGCCAUACAGGCUGUAA